rnacentral:misc_RNA from 1 species
GGAAGGAUCAUUAACAAUAAUCCAACACUCGUCUUUGGACACCCUUUUUGCUGGCUAGUGCUAGCGCACUAGCUAGUGAAAAAGGUUGGCCAUCUGACUAACAACAACAAUAACAUUCAACAUUGACAACUAAUGGAGAACCAUAUAUCAAGGUAUAUAUACAAACAACUUUUAACAAUGGAUCUCUCGGCUCUUGCAACGAUGAAGAACGCAGCGAACUGCGAAACGUGAUGUGAACUGCACUCUUCGUGAAUCAUCCAAUCUUUGAACGCAACUUGCACCUUGCGACUUUUGUCACAAGGUAUACUUGUUUGAGUAUCCGCAACUCCUCAACCCCCUUCCGGGGGAUUGGACGUGAGCGCUCUUUCACUUUACUAAUGAAAGUCGCUUUAAAUGCGGAUGGUCGUGGAGACACUUCUCCGUCUGGAGCAGCUCUUGCUCGCCGCACGAUUGGGAUAACAUCCUUACAAUUGUGUCUGGCCGAGACUUACAAGACUGCUCACCUCAUCCAUAUGGAUGAUAGAUAGAUGUUGACCUGUCGGACCGUCAUAGGCAACCACCGCACCGUAAAACGCGCGCGUGACGGCCACACACCAACCCACCACCACCACACAUUCAUUAUUAACUAACUACUAAUAAUAUAUGAUGGGGGGGGGCGUGCGAAAAAUAUGGAUCUCAAAUCAAGUAAGGAUACCCGCUGAACUUAAGCAUAUCAGUAAGCGGAGGAAAAGAAACUAACAAGGAUUCCCUGAGUAACGGCGAGUGAAACGGGAAAAGCUCAAAUUUGAAAUCUGGCAUCCAUGCGGGUGUCCGAAUUGUCAUUGAGAGGGUCUUCUUUAGACCUCUCACCAUGGUCCAAGUUCUCUGGAAAGGGACAACAAAGAGGGUGACAUUCCCGUCUAGGUCAUGGUGUCAGAGGUCAACAAGAAGAAGGCUCUAAGAGUCGGAUUGUUUGGGAAUGCAGUCCAAAAUGGGUGGUACAUUUCAUCUAAAGCUAAAUAUAGGCAAGAGACCGAUAGCGAACAAGUACCGUGAGGGAAAGAUGAAAAGAACUUUGAAAAGAGAGUUAAAUAGUACGUGAAAUUGUUAAAAGGGAAACGAUUGAGACCAGUGAUGCAGCCGGUCCUAGAGCUUCACCUUUGGGUGUAGUGUUUGGGCUGGCUGCGAGUCGACGCUCCUUUUGGGCUCUGGAAAAGACACUUGGAAAGGUGGCUCCUUCUUCGGAAGGUUGCUUUAUAGUCCUUGUGGGAUACAGAGUGCAAUGCGAGAGGAGACAGGUAGGGUCGCAAGAUCCACGUCGACGAAAUGGUCUUAAACGACCCGUCUUGAAACACGGACCAAGGAGUCUAACAACUAUGCGAGUAUUUGAGUGGCAAACUCGAAUGCGCAAAGAAACUGAACGCGUGGGACUUGUUUCUUUUACGAAAGAGCAAUGCACCAUGGGCCGGUCCUUGUCACUGACUUGGAUUGCGCUAGAGCAUAUCUGUUGGGACCCGAAAGAUGGUGAACUAUGCCUGAAUAGGGUGAAGCCAGGGGAAACUCUGGUGGAGGCUCGUAGACAUUCUGACGUGCAAAUCGAUGUUCAAAUUUGGGUAUAGGGGCGAAAGACUAAUCGAACCAUCUAGUAGCUGGUUCCCUC